rnacentral:rRNA from 1 species
UCCGGAUUCACUGGGUUUAAAGGGUGCGUAGGUGGCUUUGUAAGUCAGCGGUGAAAGCCUGGAGCUCAACUCCAGAAUUGCCAUUGAUACUGCAGAGCUUGAAUCAAGUUGAGGUGGAUGGAAUAUUACAUGUAGCGGUGAAAUGCUUAGAUAUGUAAUAGAACACCGAUUGCGAAGGCAGUUCACUAAGCUUGUAUUGACACUGAGGCACGAAAGCGUGGGGAUCAAACAGG